rnacentral:rRNA from 1 species
CGAGAAAACAACAAGAAAAAACAAGAUAGACACAGGCACGGUGGCCCGUUUACCUUCACAUAUAACCCUCCGAGUACCGCAUCCACGUUGCUUCCCCGCAAAUUCACCUCUCUGGUGAGCGCGGGGGAGGUCCGCAUCAAAUUCUCCUGUANGUAACAGCAGUCAGACAGCCAUUCAUGGAAACAAUAAAACUUUCAACAACGGAUCUCUUGGUUCCCGCAUCGAUGAAGAACGCAGCGAAAUGCGAUAAGUAAUGUGAAUUGCAGAAUUCAGUGAAUCAUCGAAUCUUUGAACGCACAUUGCGCCCUCUGGUAUUCCGGGGGGCAUGCCUGUUCGAGCCUCAAUGAAAACUCUCCUCCAAUGCUGGUGUCUUCCAGCACAUGGAGUGUCUUGGUGGAUGCCCACACCCUGAACUGUGUGCGCACCGCUCAAAUUCGAUGUCUGCGAGCCUGAGGAUUGCGGCCGAGGUAGUGAGAUUCAAUCUCGUUGGCUGUCAAACCUGACAGAGGCAACGGGACCUUAAGCGCCAUGGCGCCAACAUCAAGACGGUGAGC